CCUUCAAAGUGAAGCACUUGCUUGGAAUACCUGCAUGUAAGUGCUUAGUUUUGGAGUAG
rnacentral:pre_miRNA from 1 species